rnacentral:rRNA from 1 species
AAAUUGAAGAGUUUGAUCAUGGCUCAGAUUGAACGCUGGCGGCAGGCCUAACACAUGCAAGUCGAGCGGUAGCACAAAGAGCUUGCUCUCGGGUGACGAGCGGCGGACGGGUGAGUAAUGUCUGGGAAACUGCCUGAUGGAGGGGGAUAACUACUGGAAACGGUAGCUAAUACCGCAUAACGUCGCAAGACCAAAGUGGGGGACCUUCGGGCCUCAUGCCAUCAGAUGUGCCCAGAUGGGAUUAGCUAGUAGGUGGGGUAAUGGCUCACCUAGGCGACGAUCCCUAGCUGGUCUGAGAGGAUGACCAGCCACACUGGAACUGAGACACGGUCCAGACUCCUACGGGAGGCAGCAGUGGGGAAUAUUGCACAAUGGGCGCAAGCCUGAUGCAGCCAUGCCGCGUGUAUGAAGAAGGCCUUCGGGUUGUAAAGUACUUUCAGCGAGGAGGAAGGCAAGGUUAAUAACCUUGGAUUGACGUUACUCGCAGAAGAAGCACCGGCUAACUCCGUGCCAGCAGCCGCGGUAAUACGGAGGGUGCAAGCGUUAAUCGGAAUUACUGGGCGUAAAGCGCACGCAGGCGGUCUGUCAAGUCGGAUGUGAAAUCCCCGGGCUCAACCUGGGAACUGCAUUCGAAACUGGCAGGCUAGAGUCUUGUAGAGGGGGGUAGAAUUCCAGGUGUAGCGGUGAAAUGCGUAGAGAUCUGGAGGAAUACCGGUGGCGAAGGCGGCCCCCUGGACAAAGACUGACGCUCAGGUGCGAAAGCGUGGGGAGCAAACAGGAUUAGAUACCCUGGUAGUCCACGCCGUAAACGAUGUCGACUUGGAGGUUGUGCCCUUGAGGCGUGGCUUCCGGAGCUAACGCGUUAAGUCGACCGCCUGGGGAGUACGGCCGCAAGGUUAAAACUCAAAUGAAUUGACGGGGGCCCGCACAAGCGGUGGAGCAUGUGGUUUAAUUCGAUGCAACGCGAAGAACCUUACCUACUCUUGACAUCCAGAGAACUUAGCAGAGAUGCUUUGGUGCCUUCGGGAACUCUGAGACAGGUGCUGCAUGGCUGUCGUCAGCUCGUGUUGUGAAAUGUUGGGUUAAGUCCCGCAACGAGCGCAACCCUUAUCCUUUGUUGCCAGCGAUUAGGUCGGGAACUCAAAGGAGACUGCCAGUGAUAAACUGGAGGAAGGUGGGGAUGACGUCAAGUCAUCAUGGCCCUUACGAGUAGGGCUACACACGUGCUACAAUGGCAUAUACAAAGAGAAGCGACCUCGCGAGAGCAAGCGGACCUCAUAAAGUAUGUCGUAGUCCGGAUUGGAGUCUGCAACUCGACUCCAUGAAGUCGGAAUCGCUAGUAAUCGUAGAUCAGAAUGCUACGGUGAAUACGUUCCCGGGCCUUGUACACACCGCCCGUCACACCAUGGGAGUGGGUUGCAAAAGAAGUAGGUAGCUUAACCUUCGGGAGGGCGCUUACCACUUUGUGAUUCAUGACUGGGGUGAAGUCGUAACAAGGUAACCGUAGGGGAACCUGCGGUUGGAUCACCUCCUUA